ensembl:lncRNA
CAGAGUCAAUGUGGAGGCUAUAUACAGGGGUACAGGUACAGAGACAAUGUGGAGACUAUAUACAGGGGGUACAGGUACAGAGACAUUGUGGAGGCUAUAUACAGGGGGUACAGAGACAAUGUGGAGGCUAUAUACAGGGGGUACAGGUACAGAGACAAUGUGGAGGCUAUAUACAGGGGGUACAGGUACAGAGACAAUGUGGAGGCUAUAUACAGGGGGUACAGGUACAGAGACAAUGUGGAGGCUAUAUACAGGGGGUACAGGUACAGAGACAAUGUGGAGGCUAUAUACAGGGGGUACCGGUACAGAGUCAAUGUGGAGGCUAUAUACAGGGGUACAGGUACAGAGUCAAUGUGGAGGCUAUAUACAGGGGGUACAGGUACAGAGACAAUGUGGAGACUAUAUACAGGGGGUACAGGUACAGAGACAAUGUGGAGGCUAUAUACAGGGGUACAGGUACAGAGUCAAUGUGGAGGCUAUAUACAG